AAAAUGUCUCCAGUUCAAGCCCUAUUAGCCUUUGGCUGUGAUGGCGCCUCCUACGCUGUGAGGCAUGUACUCUACACCAUCCUAGAAAACAGAAGACUCACUUGUCAGCCUGCAGUGUUGAUGGUGAAAAAGGAGGAAGAAGGAAUGGAACGCAAGAAUGAACAUGAUCUCCACCAAGAAUGCUAUUUCACCAAUUAUGU